rnacentral:tRNA from 1 species
GACGUGACCGGGGCGACCGGCGGCUCCGACGGUGCUGAUGGCGCUGACGGUAUCGCCGCGAGUGACGAUGCGGAUCGUUCGGACUCGGACUCCGUGUCG